rnacentral:rRNA from 1 species
AUACGGAGGGUGCGAGCGUUAAUCGGAAUUACUGGGCGUAAAGCGCGCGUAGGCGGUUCGAUAAGUCUGAUGUGAAAGCCCUGGGCUUAACCUGGGAAUGGCAUUGGAUACUGUUGAACUAGAGUGCGGGAGAGGAGAGUGGAAUUCUCGGUGUAGCGGUGAAAUGCGUAGAUAUCAGGAGGAACACCAGUGGCGAAGGCGGCUCUCUGGACUGACACUGACGCUGAGGUGCGAAAGCGCGGGUAGCAAACAGGAUUAGAAACCCCGGUAGUCC